UACGUAGGGUGCAAGCGUUAAUCGGAAUUACUGGGCGUAAAGCGUGCGCAGGCGGUUUUGUAAGUCUGACGUGAAAUCCCCGGGCUCAACCUGGGAAUUGCGUUGGAGACUGCAAGGCUGGAGUCUGGCAGAGGGGGGGUAGAAUUCCACGUGUAGCAGUGAAAUGCGUAGAGAUGUGGAGGAACACCGAUGGCGAAGGCAGCCCCCCUGGGUCAAGACUGACGCUCAUGCACGAA
rnacentral:rRNA from 1 species